rnacentral:tRNA from 1 species
CAGUGGAUAGUUUAUUAAAAAUAUUAAUUUUGGAGAUUAAUGAGAAGGUAUUUUCCUUUCCUCUGA